GGGGUACAAUCAAAAUCACGUGAUGGAUAUACACACACCGGAAGUUACAGUCGAACUCGCCGCUUGAAAGGUUAGUAGUUGCAUUUUCUUGUUUAUAUCAAUUAAAUUUUGAUUAAUAAGUUGGCACACCGAAUGUCGGAUAGUAUGUAGUUUUAAAAUACACAAUUGUUUUUGCUAGAAAGCGUGCAGUUAUUGCAAACACUUCGACACAGUUCCAAAUUUUCGACGGAUAACACACACACUCAAUAUUUUUUCAACGGAUAACCACACACUUUGAAUAUUUUUAAUCAAAAUUUCAUAAAAUUGUUUUCUUUAUGAUUUGUUUGGCAAAAUAA
rnacentral:lncRNA from 1 species